UCUUAAAUUAUAAAAUGAUCAUGAACUGGUUUGAUUAGUUUUUGGCUGUUGAGGUUGAAUUUAUGGUCUCCCCCUCCAUUAACUGAGGUGAAGCAUACAUGGCAUUCGAUGUUGGGUCCACUUUUAGAUCAGACAAUUUCUUUAAUUUUUAAGGUGAUACACUCUGAUAUUAUUGAACUGCUCUCAUUUCCCUGAUUUGUAUGUGGAUGUUGUGGAAGAGAAGUGAUUUUUAUCAUGAAGUGUCUGCUCUUGCUAAAUUGAUGCUGCUGCAGCAUCUUAUUUCAAUUAUCAGAGAAAAAAAAUGGUUUUUAUCCUCUCUGGUGGUGAAAAUGGGUUGCUGAUGAAAUUGAUAGUAACUGGUUGAAAUGGUUUGGUCAGCUUUUGUUUUUGGCUGUGCUUUUCAAUUUUAUUUUAUUAUUGACUUGCCAACAUGUAUUCUUCACAGUAUGCAUUCAGAUUCGAGUCUUCACAGGGAGCAUUCCAAGAAGAUCUGAAUGCAUCUCUCUGUUUUUGUCAUUUACUCAUUUUCAAUAUUAUUAAGAAUCAUUGGUAUCUGGUGUGUUCAGAUUGGAGCCAAUAGGAAAAAAUUCAUCUGUUUUGUUUUCCAUUUGGGUUUCUACGUUCUAGUAUGAACAUACUAGCAGAAACAAGCUUGACGAAUUUGAUAUUAAACCAGAUUCUCUCCUUGUCACUGGACAUGAUGUUAAAGUAAUGCAGUAAAUUAAUAAUGCUGGACAACAGGUACUUACAAUUUCUCAGAAAUUUGGAUUUUAUGUUGAUGUGUAUGUACUAGUAGCCUUAUCAGUGUGUACUCAGAAAUGCGGGAAAAUGGAGUUGUCUAAGCAUGUAUUUGGUAAACUUCCCGACUCCUGAGUUAGAUGUUGUCUGUUGGAAUACAAUGCUAGCAGGAUUCUCAAUCAAUUCUCUAGAACAAAAUGUUUUGUCUUUCUUUAAGUAGAUGUAGCACUUUGGCUUCUUUUCUUCUAAGUUUUCUCUUGCUACCAUAAUGAGUUCUUGUGCAAAACUUUCUUCUUUAUUUAAAGAACUACAGAUUCAUGCUCAGAUCAUAAAAGUUGGUUAUGUACGUGAGUCGUGACUUGUUUGUGGGGAGUUCUCUUGUAGAAAUGUAUUGCAAAUGUGAGGAUAUAGGUGGAGCCAGAUGCUUUUCGAUAUGAAAUGAUACACUGUUAUGCACAGAUCAUAAAAUUUGGGCAUCGCUGCAAAAAAAAUCAACUAAUAGACAUUUGGCAAUGAGGAAAUAAAAGCAAAAGCCUUUCUUUGAAAGAUGAGGUUGGAGUAACGGUAGCAACACAAGGUUGGAUUGGAAGUGAGACAACAAGGGACAAGUUGUAAAGCUAGAGGAGCGCGCAGAGAUAGAAGGAAGAAAGAGUAGUAAGUCCCCGUUGUAAAGCUCAUCAAAGCUCACUGUUACUCACUAGUGACAAUAGCUUAUGUCAUUACAUGUAAUUAGUUCUUUACUGCUUCAUAUUACACUUAACUAUAUGUAGCUAGUUCGUUAUGGACUUAUGCUUAAAGCUUACUAUAGUUAGAAGUCUGUUAGCCCCCUUUGCACCACUUAUUUAUAUUAUACAUUUGCUUACCCAAAAAAAGCCUAGUUAUAGCUAUGAAUAGCUUGCAGCCUUGUACACUCACUGAAACAGUUAGUGAAAAUUCUCUUCAUUCAA